CUUUUUUCAUCACAAUUUUCUUCGGAGAAAGCUUUGCUGGACCCUGUCGUCACCGACUGUUGAAGGUUUUAUCAGCAUCGUCAAAGGUUAUGAGAACCCUUCUCGCUGGAAAGAGAAGCAAAUAUGCAACCCAAAUAGAGCAAUAAAGACUUAAAGCAUCGAAGAUAGAUUCCCUAAAAACAAUAUCAACCCCCAAUCGGG